ACCCAACCAAAUAGACCCUAAGCCUCUCCUUCUUCUCCUUCUGACUUCUUCUGUUCAAGUCUUUUUUUUUAAAAUUAUUUUUUUAAGUGCUGAAAGAAUCUCCAUCAAUCUCUUUUGUGGUCAUGCUUGUAGGCAUAUGAUCCCAGUUAUAUCUUGAGGUGGUAUUUUCAAGUUUUUCUACAUAAAAGAUGAGAAUAUACCUUAGGACAGUGUCCAACGUGCUUUCGGUC
rnacentral:lncRNA from 1 species